UAUCGUUUGUCAUUUGUUUUUAGGUUAUGAUGACGAAAAACUGGAAAACGCCAGAUUUGUUCGGAUAAGCGACAGACAACCAAGCUAAUGCAAAAUAUUACUUUUGCAUUUUUCAAAUUACAAAUUUACAUUCUUUUCUUCCCUAGGUAUAUAUUGUGUGAAGGACUUUCUUCUGCUGCUGGCCUUGUUCAUUAUGGGCACAUCUUAGCUGGAACUAUCAAGGAUAUUGUAACCCGAUUAGCUCAUCAAAAUGGUCUUCAUCUUGAGAGGGGCUUUGGAUGACAUACACAUGGCCUUGCAGUUGAAUGGGGAUUGUCAAUUGCAACGCUGAGGAAAGGAAAAUUGUCAUGCUUUAUCCAGUGGUAUUGGGAGACUGUUGUUAACAGAACGGGACGUUGAAUUGGUAUAUAUUGUGUGAUGGACUUCCUUUUGCUUCUGGCCUGUCUCAUUAUGGGCACAUCUUUGCUGGAAUUACCAAGGAUAUUGUAACCCGAUAUGCUCAUCAAAAUUGCUUUCAUCUUGAGAGGUGCUUUGGAUGAGGGGAUUGGGAGACUAUUGUUAACAGAAUGGGCAGUUCGAUUGGUGUGAAACAGUUUCCUAUUAUUUUUAGUUUCCUACAUCUAGUUUUGUCAAUUAUCGUCUUAAUUUUAUUUUGCAUUAGGUUUCGAGAACAACUACGAAACUCUUCAAUCAUGGUUCAUGGAAUCUACUUGUUGGGUUUUCAAACAACUCUUCGACAAAGGGCUCGUCUACCGUGGAUUCAAAGUUAUGCCUUUUCUCGACCGCUUGUAGUCUACUCUAUUUGGCGUGGGAUUGAUUUCGAGAACGACUAGAAAACUCUUUACUCAUUUAAUGGUGAAUUCUGCCAUCGAUUAGCACAGAUAUCCAAUCUGCUGGUGGUCUGAAAUACUCCUUAUCUACCGCGCUGUUCCUUCUUGGUUCAUACUUGUGGAGAAAAUGUCCAAACAGUUGUUGGAAAACAACCAAAACACUUCUUUGAAACAUUUGAUUGAUAUAUCAGAAUUUAAAAUGCAGUGAGUCGGAUGAAAGUGGUGUUUGAACUCGGACGUAUUCUUCGUGAUCGCCGCAUUCGGCCCAUUAAAUACCCCUUGCGAAGUGAUUUUUAUCCUCCGUGAGCAAAAAUCUUUGAAUGAAAUAUGGACUAUGGAACGAUAUAUUCUGGAAGAGUUGUCUGUGUUCUCAAGCUGACCAUCGACAAGAACAAUUUUGGAGUCCGUCUACGUGCAGAGCCUGAUCACCGCAUCAAAACACGACUCAGUUAUCGAUUGUCGCUCAAAUAAUUUGCAGUAUCCUUUACCGGAAGGGAUUGAUAUCCUCCAUGAGCAAGAAUGCCACCGACAAGAAUAGUUUUGGAGUCAGUCUACGUGAAGAGCUUUGAUCACCGCAUCGAAGCGCGACUCAAAGGGGUGAAUUCAAGGCUGUUGUGGAUGCAAUCAAGACUCUAACGGAUGAGCAGCUCCAAGGAUUGUUAACUGAAGGCCAGAUUGUUGUUUUGGGUAACACGAUGGGUCCAGAGGAUUUGUGGAUCUUUUACCAGUUCAUCAAUUCAACUUUCUUGAAAUUAUAUUGAUUUCGAAUUCGAAUAAUACAUUGUAUUUAAUUCCACAAUGACAUGAUAAAG
rnacentral:lncRNA from 1 species